rfam:Genlisea aurea contig_16144, whole genome shotgun sequence.
AAGAGCAUAGUUUAACGGUAAAACUUGAAGCUUCAAACUUUAUGUUCUCAGUUCAAAUCUGAGUGCUCUUG